rnacentral:lncRNA from 1 species
AGCAUAGCUGCCGGGCCAUGUUCAGAUGCUCUUGGUUCUCGGGGGGGAGUGGAAACCUGGUGCCAAGCCCCAAAGACUCAUUGCAGUAAAGCCACUCCGUCCUCUCUGAGUCCACAGGGGAAGCUGGCCAAGGUCACAGACCCUAGCUGCCUUGUGGACAGGACAAGAGUGCACACAGUGCAAGGCCCAGCCUGACCUUAGCUACGGGGAGGGCAGCCUGCUUUGCGGGGGAGAAUGAGCUGAGGGACGAGGGAGAUACCUUGGGUAAUCUGUGCCCGUUGGGGCAGAGGCUCUGUGGUGGCAGGCUCCGGGGAGGCCCUGACCUACCGCCAUGCCGGUUCAGCAUCUGUUUUCUGACUUGAAGGAGGAAGGAUGUGCCGAGCAGCUGAGGAAUGACACUCAGUGCCUGGCAUUUUGGAGGUGCCCUGACACUGGGUGGGGCUCAGUGCACAAACAGCAGGGUACCGGGUUCCUGGGGCCAGUGGCCUCUGCUGCUUAUGCCCCAUGUCUCAGGGUCCAGGACGCACCACCAGCUCUAGGCUUCUUUCUCUGUGUUCAUUUCCGGAGCUGUGGCAGGUGGCUUAGAGGGGUCUAGGCCAUGAGAGGACAUGGAAUCUUGCUUCUGCUUGGCAGGAAAGUUCAAUAGGAGCGUCUUGGCUCUGUGACCUCUGAUGAGAUGAUUUUAUUGUGAGCUUUCUGUUCACCCCUCGCCAGUGCUGCCUGAGGUCACAUUCCCUGAUGGGAAAGUAGAGGAGACGAAAGUAGAGGGUUCUGCAGGGCAGAGUAGGUGAGACCUCGCAUCUUCCUGGGGCUGUGUCUUGCCCAGUUGUCAGGCAGCAAACAGCGCUGAGUUGCUACCAAACAUGAACUCGGCUGGUGUCAGGGGCAGGUGGCAGAAGAUCCUGUUACAGGCCCUGGGCCUCUGGGCCCCAGCCUGACCCCAGCCUGGUGUCUCCUUUCAGGUUCUAAGGUCAACAUCCCAGGGUGGGGGGACAUGAGCCAACCCACCCUAGCCUACAGUCCUCCCCCACAGAGAGCCAUGCCCUCUCCCAGCUUCUAGAGAGAUCAGUCACUCCACCCGCUCCCCACCUGGAAGGACCCUCUGCUCAUCUUGAAGGCGCUGCUGUUUGCUGUCUGCCCCCGCGGUGAUUUUUCAAGUUGAUCAUUGCAGAAUCCUCACAAGAGCCCCGCGAGGAAGGACUGUUUCAUUGCUUUGGUUUACAGAUGAGGAAACCACAGCUCAGAGAAAGUUGGCCAUUUGCCCGUGGUCACAGCACUUGUCAGUGGCAGAGCUGGGAUUCCAACCUGGCCAGGGCUUCCGGCCAGCAAGCCCUGAGCUUUUUCCUCCCUACAGACACACACAGGAAGUUACUGCAAACCUCCGAAACUGAGAAUACACACACACACACCAGCCUGCAGACACAUCUGGCCCCUUCCCAAACACCCACAUACUUCUUGAUAUCAGGGGUUUUCAGACUUGUUUUUAGCAGUUGAGCCCAUUUUUCAAACAGAAUCCCAUGUGGAAGCUCAAUAUAGAAAACUUAACGUGUGGAAGCCACUCCGGCCCUGGCCCUCUCUGGGAGGCCUUGCCGGCCUUUCCCUUCUGUCCUGUGUGGCUCCCUCCUGGGCAGAACUCACAGGGCUCAAACCCUCCAUUUUUGGUGCUUAAUUUUGUGUCUGGCGGCCCGUCGGCUGGCCUCCUUCCCUCCUCCCUGUGGGCCGUGUUCCAUUGUGAGCUGCUGGGGUCUGGCCCUUGGGUCUGGUGUGGGUGGAACAGCUAGGCCUGGUGCCCUGCUGGCCAGCCUGGCCACUACCCUUGGUCCCAGGCAGCCCUGAGUCAGCACCGCUCCCAUCUGGCGAGAGCGUAAGACCCUGCCUGAGGCUCCACCCCGCCUGCAGCCACCCUGUCCUCCCCUGGCCUCUGCACGCCUCAUCCGUGUGUGUGGUUCCUUGCUACGGCUUUGCCCAGGGCUGACAGAGGCGCUGUGAGGACAGCCUCUUCCUCCCCCGCCCCCUGGCCGCAAGAUCUCCAGCCAGCGCCUCUGGAGAGGGAGAGGCCUUUCCUAGGGCUUCCUGAGCGCCAUCUUUCACUCCCACCGAACUGGUUGUGUUCCAAGCUCUCCGAGGACUUGAUGAAACCAGGCAUGCGCAUCUUCCCCAGCGCGUCUCCAUAGCAACAGAGGGCCUAACUCUGGGGAGCUCGCUGAGGAGGAAAAUGUUCCAGCUAAAAAUGUACAUGGCCGUCAGUGGGCGGGCACCGGAGAGGGGGCUCCAGGCACAUAGAAGGCAGCUCCCCACCCCCACUGCGGCCCCCGCCUGUCCAGGAAGUCGGUGGUGGGCUUUACCUCCCGUCUUGGAACAAGAGAAGGGCCCCCCGUGCUGUCAUCUCAUGCCACCCUCAGGGCUGAAACAGGGAUCAGUGGGACGGCAUGAAGCAACCUUUGUGGGACCUGAGGCUGAAAGGGGGCCCUGCCCUCUCCCUCCACUCACUACCCUGUCCACCCUACCCACUUCCCAGUGUGGGUAGAAGAGGAUGUAGAGGGGACAAGGUGCCAGUUUCACUUCCCAGCCUCUUCUUAUGACUAUUCCUGUUAGUUCCUCUAUCUCUUUGGUAACAGGGUUGUUUGAGCCAAACAGCAGGGCCAAGCUUCCCUGUGCGUGACCCAGACCCCCCAGGCCUUUCAUCUUUCAGCCAAUCCAGCCCGUUCACCCAGCACCCCAUCCCCCGCCAUCUGACUCUCCUCCCAUGACCCUCUCCUGAGGAGCCACCGCACACGCACACGUUUGAGCUUUUCCUCCCUGGUGGCAGUGGUGAAGGCCUGUAAUGCGUCCUCCUCCGUCUCUCUGCGUCCCUGGAGUGAAGGGCAGCUCUGGGCAGCAGGAAGGACUGAGACGCAUGGCCCCACUGAGUGAGAACACACUCCUGCCAGACACUUCUCAGAGCUUUACACCUCCUGACUCCUUUCAACCUCACCGCGCUCUCGAGAGAGAUGCUGUGAUUUUUCCCAUUUACAGAUGAGGAAACUGAGGGCCAGAGAGCUGGGAUUUGCCUAGGAUCCCCCAAACAGUGUGACACAGCCAGGUCUGUUGACUUGAAAGCCAGUUCCUCGGGACCGGCAGGAACAGAGCUCCUGCAGUGGGUUUCCCAGGAGGCUGGGGUUAAAGCAGGGCUUGGGCAGGGCCAGGUAGGAUUUGUAUGGGGAAAGGCACAGUCACUUAACAGUGCCCAAGCCAGAGACGCGGGAAUCCUCUCGAGCUGAUGGCUGCUGCCACCCGUGCACCUGUGCUUGGCCCAGUUGCCAAGAUGCCUGUGCCAUGGGACACCCCUACUCACCCUGCCCUGUGCUUCGUCCACAGGGUCUGAUGCUGAGUCGGCUGGGCCACAAGAGCUUGGCCCAGAAGGUGCUUCGUGAUGCCGUGGAGAGGCAGAGUACGUGCCACGAGGCGUGGCAGGGCCUGGGCGAGGUGCUGCAGGCCCAGGGCCAGAACGAGGCUGCCGUUGACUGCUUCCUCACCGCCCUUGAGCUGGAGGCCAGCAGCCCUGUACUGCCCUUCUCCAUCAUCCCCAGAGAGCUCUGACGACGCUGCAGCCGCAGGGAGGGAGGGGCUGGCCAGAGGGAGAGGCAGCAGGGAACGUGGGUCAGGGUGGGGCAACAGUGGCAUCAGGUGCGGGGCCUCAGGGAAAUACAUCUUUAGUGAACGCCUCUGCAGCUGCAGCCCUCGUUCUCUUGGCUGGGCCAAGAGGGCCUUCCUGGAUUUCUUUGUUGGUGCCUUGGGAAACAGUCUGACUUGAACCC